AUGCACGCUGGCGGCGUGCCUCAUACAUGCCAGUCGAGCGAACAGACGAGGAGCUUGCUCCUCUGAUGUUAGCGGCGGACGGGUGAGUAACACGUGGAUAACCUACCUAUAAGACUGGGAUAACUUCGGGAAACCGGAGCUAAUACCGGAUAACAUGUUGAACCGCAUGGUUCAACAGUGAAAGACGGUCUUGCUGUCACUUAUAGAUGGAUCCGCGCCGCAUUAGCUAGUUGGUAAGGUAACGGCUUACCAAGGCAACGAUGCGUAGCCGACCUGAGAGGGUGAUCGGCCACACUGGAACUGAGACACGGUCCAGACUCCUACGGGAGGCAGCAGUAGGGAAUCUUCCGCAAUGGGCGAAAGCCUGACGGAGCAACGCCGCGUGAGUGAAGAAGGUCUUCGGAUCGUAAAACUCUGUUAUUAGGGAAGAACAAAUGUGUAAGUAACUAUGCACGUCUUGACGGUACCUAAUCAGAAAGCCACGGCUAACUACGUG
rnacentral:rRNA from 1 species